AACAUACAAUCAUGGACGGGUCCUCGCUUAUUAGCCUGAUUCAAGUGAUUGGCAAUGGCCCCAAGCUUCAAGAGUAUUUGGGCCGCAGGAAGGCGGAAGUUGGACACAGCCGUAGCGACUAGCUGAAUGCAGUGACGAAGCGGAUGACUGCACUGGACGUCUGGACCCGCCAGUCACUGUGUGGAGAUGUUUGACCGACACAGCCUACAGGCUACAUACACUUGAACAUUGGCGUGAGGCCGGCACAUUUGGAUGUUGCUUAGGUUAGACCUACCCUUGCACCCUCUGAGAUGAACAACACAACUAGUCAUAGGCAAGUAUAAAGUAAGUACAUAACGUUACAUGCACUUCCAUGUAUAUACUAGUACUUUGAAAGCCGAGGUGCGUGGCGAGGAGAAAGGCAUUAUAUCCGGUAUAGUUGUCUGCUUGCUUACC